GCUCUUGUCGUCCAGCGGAGAGGACACCGGCCUACGGAGCCGGAAACCGGGGUUCGAAUCCUCGCAGGAGCA
rnacentral:tRNA from 2 species